CCGAGCCCCUCCGAGCCCCGCGGGCCGAGGCGGCGAUGCCCCGCUGAGAGGAGCGAGGAGCAGGAACACGAUGAGUGAUAUUCGCCACUCCUUGAUCCGUCGAGAUGCAUUAAGUGCCGCUAAGGAAGUUCUGUAUCAUUUAGACAUUUAUUUCAACAGUCAGCUCCAAAAUGCACCUCUUCCUAUUGUGGACAAAGGUCCCAUUGAACUUCUGGAAGAAUUCAUAUUUCAGAUCCCCAAAGAACGUAAUUCGCAACCAAAAAGGCUGAAUUCACUUCAGGAGCUUCAACUCCUCGAGAUCAUGUGCAGUUACUUCCAGGAACAAACCAAGGAUUCCGUCAGGCAGAUUAUCUUCUCAUCCCUCUUCAGUCCUCAGGGGAACAAAGCAGAUGAUAGCCGGAUGGCCUUACUUGGGAAACUGGUCUCGAUGGCAGUGGCAGUGUGUCGGGUUCCAGUGCUAGAGUGUGCUGCAUCCUGGCUGCAGCGAACACCUGUCAUCUACUGUGUGAGGUUAGCCAGGGCCUUAGUGGACGACUACUGUAGUCUGGUGCCAGGUUCCAUUCAGACCUUGAAGCAAAUAUUCAGCGCCAGCCCUCGCUUCUGCUGCCAAUUCAUCACAUCGGUCACUGCGCUCUACGACCUCUCCUCAGAUGAUCUGAUCCCACCUUUGGAUUUGCUCGAGACGGUCGUCACCUGGAUUUUCGAGGACCCCAGGUUGAUUCUCAUCACUUUUCUGAACACCCCCAUUGCAGCCAACCUCCCCAUUGGAUUCUUAGAGCUUACGCCCCUCACCGGACUAAUCCGCUGGUGUGUGAAGGCCCCCCUGGCUUACAAGAGGAAUAAGAAGACCAGCUUACCCAACGGCCACACCGACAACCAAAUCGCCAAGGACUCUUCCCUUGGAUCCGUCAGAGACUGCCACUCCCUGUACUCGAAACUGCACUUAAGCGUCCUGCAGGUUCUGAUGAUGCUCCAGGUGCAUUUAACUGAGAAGAACCUCUACGGCCGCCUUGGGCUGGUCCUGUUUGACCACAUGGUCCCCCUCGUGGAGGAGAUUAAUAGACUUUCGGAUGAACUCAACCCGCUCAACGCCUCCAAAGAGAUCGAGCUGUCUCUGGAUAGGCUGGCUCAGGCUCUGCAGGUGGCCAUGGCAUCCGGGGCGUUGCUGUGCACCAGAGAUGAUUUAAGAACCUUGUGUUCCCGACUGCCACAUAACAACCUGCUGCAGCUGGUGAUCUCAGGGCCGGUGCAACAGUCGACCCACGGGGCUCUGCCCCCGGGGUUUUACCCUCAUAUCCACACCCCUCCCCUCGGCUACCCUGCCCACGCCGCUCACCCCGCAAUGCCCGCCCACCCAGCCCACCCAGCCCUCCCAGCCCAUCCGGUACAGACGUUCAUACCGGGCAUGACCUUUCCAUACAGACCGAUUCGUUAAACGGCCAGCCGCUCCCGGAAAAUGGAACACACACACACACACGUCCAUUUUCCCUCGCCUCAGGGGGAUGGGAACGCCUUAAGGAGAAGAGGAUUCAUCCAUACCUGCUUCGAUCAGGACUUUUAAAGAACCUUGUUCUCUCCUAACAGAACUGUGCGCGUAGAAGAUUUCAAUUUUUCCCCACCCCUGCCAAGAUAGGGGGAAGGCAAACCAUAAAAAGCAGUUAGUGGGGAUUACCGGCUCGAAACACGGACGUAGUCUUGAAAAUUGAGAUUGUGUGAAUGAAGGAAAAAAUAAGAAUUUCAAGAAGUCCAAAUCAGAAUACCGAAAACAUUCCUGUGAGUCCAUUUUUAACCUAGAGUUGGAAAAGUUUUUUAAAAGGCAGUUUAUUAAAAAUAAAAGUACAAGGUAAAUUCUAUAUUUGGUUAAUACCAAAUGUGACAUUUCUUUCACAUUUUACCUUAAACUUGGGUAGAAGUGAUGAUAACUUGCUAUUUAACAAUAUUUUCUAAUUGCAGUUCGAUGUUCAGUCAUCUUUGAACCCUGUUUUUCAAACACUGGUCGGGGAUGAAGAUGCUGUUUUGUCAUUUUCCAGAACAACAAAACCCUGGUUGUUGUUUUUCUAUUUUUCCGCCCUCCUUCGCAAACUCUUUUCUCUAGAGAAAAUUGAAAUCUGCAAUUUCUUGCCUCCUGAAGAAGAUAUCUUUCUUUUGAAUUUACUUUUGUUCUUAAAUUAAAGCCAGACCGUGUUCAUUUGCAAUCCAGUGGCUUUUUGAUCAAGUUGUUUUUGAAGAGAAGUGCUGUCCACCAUUUCUUGGAGAGCGGGCUUUGAACUGUAAAAUGUCAGACCACCCCAACUUAGAAUGAUGUUUCCUUCCUGGAAUGCAAGUAGGAUACCAGCUAGUUUGGAAAAGUGUUUAAAACCGAGGUGCUUCUUGCAUAGAAAUAGCCAUUUGGCCAUAAACGUGAUAGACCGAGUUGUUUGCCAUUUGGGGCUUCUUGGUUCUCCUUUACAAUACUGCCUCAUCUCCUCUGCUAAAGCGGAGCAAGGAAGUAGGGCAAGUAUCAGGUCAAUACAGGCCAAAACUUUUGACUUACAGCUGUAGUGAAGUGUAAUGCCAAUGAAAAUGCACGGAGCCCAAUGACACCAGCCUUCCUCAAACAGGUGAUUCCUUCACUCCUUCCAGUCAUUAGAAUUUAUAGAAGUUUCACCAAAGAUAGCUUGUUUCUAUUCCAAAAAGAAAGGUACCUUUGAAAGUUGCUACCCCCUUUAAGGAUGUUUUGGGUCAGAUUAAGGAGUGGUGGUGUCCCCCUGGACAAUAUUUUGGGUGAAAAUAUUCAGGGCCACAGCUUGUUAUAACGUUGCAGGCAAGACUUUUAAGUGGUGUCUCUCAGUUAUUCGCAUGAAGAUCAUCAUACCCCAAAAGCCCUCACUGUCCAAAAGUCUAGUUCAUGGAGCUUGUCGAAUAAAGAAUGCUACGAACUGAUAAAUCAUCAUGGGGUUCUUCAUAGGAUGGGCAGCUUGUAGGGAACUAGGUGAGGUAAAAUGAUUUAAACUGCCUGGCCUUGAAGGCUCAGGUCUUUGGCUCACUACCCAACUUUUUGUUUCACUGCCAAUAUCAACGACGCUCAUUUUGAAAUAUUGACGUAUUUCAAGGUGAAUGCGUCUAGCGGCAAUCCAGCCAGCCUCAACUCAGGGUUUUUGAGUUACCAGGGUAAAAUCAAAUACCGGUUAACCUUUCAGAAUGUGUUUUGAAGAAAGACUAUAUACCCUAAUGAAAGAAUUUGAAUUUGGAGAAGAAACAUCUAAUUUGUGCAAGGAGUGGCCUGAAAGCUUCUAUGCCAUCCUAGCAACUCAAUCGGCAACAAUAGUGAUUAUUCGAAGAAAUUCUAAUCAAAGUCCUGGGGAUAUUGUGGAUAUUUCCUUAUGUUUGGGAUAUUAAUCUUGGAAGGUGCCUAUCAAUUGUAUUAAAGUUGUUGCAUUUAUAUCUUUA